GAUCAGUGCGGAUCGGAAUAUCAGUGUGACCUUUGAAGUAGAAGGAUACGGCUCUUGCAACAGCCACGCAAUAUCGUUCUUCCUGAAAUACGAAGGUCGUACAAGCAGAUAACGCGAAAGCGCCAGGAAAUUUAUGGUCUCGAAUCAUCGUAUCCUGCUGAAGUCCGCGUACUCAACCUUGCGGCGUAUCUCGGGAGUUUUUCGCGACAGUGCUAAAUGGACGCGCACAUAAAGGUCGCUGGCACGCGGCAAAAACUGGACGCAGACGCAUCCGUUAUGUCCUAAUAAAACGCGAGUACGCACUCACAACGGCUCCCUUACGCGCUUCUGAUGCAAUUGCGAACGCGCGAUUGCUCGACCAGCGAGUUGAGUCAAUUUUCAAGGGUAUUAAGUGUGAUGCACCGCUCGCCGGGAUGGAUGGAUGCACUAAUAAACGCACCAAUAAAUGCUUCCGCACUCAGCUAACUUAACGUGAUUAUAUUUUUCCAAAGGUGGGAACGUGUGAUAUCUUUAUUCUUUAAUCAUUGAGUAUUGUUUUUAUUACUUUACUGUUCGUUAAACUAUCAACACGAGCGAUUUUGCAAGUAAUUAAAUCGAGAUUUAUUGAACAUAUCUAUAAAUUUCUUUUAGAAAAAGUCGCUUCAUUGCUUGAACGCUGCGUUAUUUGCGUGACAUAAAUUCGACUUGGCUCACGCAUUGAAGCGCACGGCGGAUGGAUAGCUAUGUUAAUCGUCGCCAAUUUAAAUGCUUGACCGAAGAGCGAUUAGAGCGUUUACCGCAGACAAGGUGAAUUACUAUAGAUCCCGUUAUUGGCUGGUAGCGUUGGCUGGUAGCUGGAGAGAUUACUCGCAUUCUACGCGUGUCUACGCGUCGCUUAAUUUGCAUGUGUGCGAAACGACCUAGCCGAUGGCAACGCAUAAACGCGUUUAUGACAAGGAACUUGAAGGUAAGCUCAUCUGUCGCGCAAAUAUACGAUCUAUUAAAAAAAACCAACAGCGGAAAUCACUUUAAUCAGAUACGUAUCAACUUGUUUUAUCAGGUGCAACGUAAUGAGAUUUGGCAGCAUUAAAACGUGUUGCAACUUUUUUUAAUUCAAAUUAAUUAUGAUGCUUCAAUGCAUUUUGCAUAUAAGGCAAACGAAGAAUAAAAGCUGUGUGUGGAAAUCAACAUUGAACGCUCGUUUGAAUAAUGCCUAACACCGCGUGGAUUUAUAUUGAAUUAUUCAACAAAUAUUACGUAAAUGUAAAUACGCCAUAAUAAGCCAUGCAAAAAGAAAUUUAGCUGUGUAACACGACGUGGACGCAGAACAAGACUGCUGAUAUCUGAAAACAAUUUCCAGAUCGAUUACGUCGAAUUAACGUCACGUAAACGCGUGACUCUCUCAAGCUCGAAUUUCGUUGACUCAGUCGAAAAGCGUGCAGUAUCAAGAUCGCAAGUGCGAAUUAUCCGAAAGGCGGUCAAGCAAGCUUACGCAACGUUCGUGAGAUGCGCCAAACGAUCGCGUAAUUCGUGUUAUUACGAACUUGCAGUAAGUGCGAAAAAGUUUCCCACGAACGUUCGUUUUCUCGACAAGGCUAACGUUUAAACUCCGUAGGAUCGUGUCUACGCUCUCUUUGUCCCGAUUUUCCAAUGUGGCCUCACGUAAAGGAAAGGUUUAUUACUCGAUGGCUCGUUCCGUGCAGGACAAGUCGUCAAACCGAUUGUUGGCGAAGUGAAACUGCACGACGCACCGUAAUGCAAAGUGGAUCGUAAAGUACACAUUAUCUCGCACGACGUGCCGCAACGGACCAGUGAACGAGAGAGAGAGGAAAAUUUCGCAGUUCUAUCCUGGUUUUCGCGUUUUGAGACUAUUUAUUCUAUAGAAAAAGUAAGUACGUGCGAAAAUUUGCUCAUAAUCGUGUAGGUAUCCUGUGAUUUUUACAUGAAACGUAAAUUUCACGUCUUGUAUUACAAAGUAUAAUAUAAUUGCCGAUAAAAUGUAUGUUAAAUGCAUGCCUAUUACAUAAUAACUAAUAUACACAUAGAUACAUUAUUCAUGAUAUUUUUCUUUAUGUUCUGCUAAAACUUUGUUUAAUUUAUCAUUUCGCGAAGAGAAAUGAUUUAUAUUUAUUAUCCAUUGGAAUAAAAUAAAUGAGAUAAGUAUUGUUUCAUAAAUUUGGUAUAAAAUAUCGUUAUGUAUAAUGUUAACUAUUUGCCCAGUAUUCUCAACUAUUAAACAAAUUCGUGCGUUGGCUUGAGGUUGUAAAAUAAACACUAAUCUCUCGAGAAUAUCAGCGGCAUUAAAUCGUAUCGCAACCAAAAUACAAUAAAGUUAAGACAUAGAGAAAACAAGAAGAACGAGUUUCUUCCUACGAGAAAAAAGGUAUGCGGAGGCGAUGGCGUGUGAAGGAUUCUCUAGAUAUGCUUUUAAGAGAAACACAUUGAACAUGUUUGUACUUUAGAACAUACUUGAAAUAAUCAAUUUGAAUUUCAUGUCACUAGCUGUCAACAUCUAUUAUUUUGAUUAUUUUUCGCUGAUAUUUCCAAUUUUCAGUUCUUUGAAUCGGAUCACGACAGUUAACGUCAAAUAUUUUCUAAAAUUAUCUCCAGCAUUCAAGAAUAAAAAUAAAACUGUAUCUCUCCACCUAUAAAAUUCCUUCGAUAGAUCAAACGUAAAUCAAGUAUGAAGCUUGUUGAAAAACAGAAUUCCGAUUAUGCUUUGAAAGUUAAAGGAAAUUCCGUCUUUUAGCCUCGAUCUCUUCCGCGUGACUCUCAGUUUUUUAUCCUUUUCAAGAGCGAUGCACACGAUAAACGCAAGGUAAUUGAAUUCUCCGCUGAAUCGGUGAUCCAGGAGCAACGCCCGCGUUUUCUAACCGGGAUUCAUUUCACGAUAACUCACGGAAAGGAAUUCCGCGUCGCGUAUAACGCACGAUCGGCUAUUCCAGCGUUUCCAUCAAUCCGACACGGUAUACGAACACUGAAAUAAAUCCAGAGAAAACACGAAGCAGGCGUGCGAUCCAGGAAACAUCAACUCUCCCGAGACGAAUAGCAAGAUCGUGUAAGCCAAUGGACGAACGCAUAAAAUAGGGUGCUCCACAGCUAUCGACGCUGUCUUUAGAGAUAUUUUUCUGCUCGAUCUUCUAUCAAUUUCUUCUCAACAGGAAUGUAUUACUGAUGGCCAAACAACGCAUUAAAAAUUUAAAAGAAUCUAAGCGAAUCAGACCUGUGCAAUAAAAAGAAAUAACGAAAUGUUGUCGAUUGACUUGUGAUUAAUUUUUACUACGCGUCGUUUAAGAAUCGUAGUUAGAAUUGCUAAUAUAUUAAAAUACUAAGUCUUUAAAAAUUGUGCAAAAAGAAAAUGUCGCAUAAACAAAUAUUCAUCGAGAAAACAUCAGUUCUAAAUUAAAUGGUAAUACAGUUGAAAAAGUAAUUGGUAUUAACUUUAUACACAAUAUAUUUGCUAUAUAACAGUUAAAUCUUGGAAAUUCCUAUAAGGAUACUUAUUUUGUCAAGAUUUAUGCCGCUUCCUGCAAUACGUUUCCUGCGUUUGUAUCACGGAAUGGCAGAAGCGUCCGGCGGAAUUGUUCGUCGACGGUUAUUCCCAUGAUGCACGGUAGAUUAACUUGGUCGACGGACCGCUCGAAAAUCAUUGCCGGGACAAGAUACUUUUACUCACAAAUUGGAAUUUUAUCGAUGUUAGUAAUAAAGUGUCUCCCAUCACGUCACGUUGACGCGCAAUCACGUGAGAAAGUCGCGGAUCAAGUGAAACGCCUGACGCUUGGAUGAAAAUUGCGUCUUUAAUGAUUUAAUGGAAACGAUUGAAAAUUCCGCAGGAACUGGUGGGUCUGAUUAUGCACGCUAUUACAAGGACUUAAAUUGGAUGCUUAUGAAAUAUCGUAUUUCAUGAUUCUUCCAUGUUUAAUGUUACCUUCAGUUACGCAAGCUGUAUUGUAAUAUGUGUCUAUAUCGUUAUUUAAUUUGUAAAAGUUAAAUUUUAAUUAUAUUUUGGUUUAGUACAUAGGUUUAACAUAGUUACUACUUCUAACAAGCAAUUUUCUGAAAAAUGUAAUGUUAUUUCUUUCCAAUUAGACAAGAGAAGAAUAUUAUACGUGAAUUUAAAGGAAGAUGAAACUAAAGCGAUAACAUUCAUCAUAAAAUCCUAAAAAAUAUAGUAUAAUAGUCAAAUGAUAAUAGUAAUAGAUAGAAUAUUAAGAAAACAUGAAAGACUGAGAUUGAAAAAGAAGUAGCGCGUUUUAUGUUAAUGAGAAGCGAUAUCGUAAAAAUUAAUAAAGUGCUACAGCAUGAUAUGCGAUAUUAAUUAUUGAGGACAUUUAAUUACGUAUACUUGGACAUGUUUCAUGCAACUUUCCACAUAUUGAGAAAGCGGUUUAAUCGACUAUCGAGAUUGAUACUUGAGUCAGCUUGAAAAUCUUGAGAUGUGAAUUCGUGAUUUUUAAUGUUUGUAAAACGUUCUCCAAAUUUUAAAAAAUUGUUUCGCACCAAGUAACAUACGGUAGCUGAACGUAAGGCUCCCAGUAGUAAUAUUAAUAUUUAAACAAUUGCAUUUCACGGAACAAUACUAAAUUCCGCGAUAACUUAUCGGUGUGGCGAGCACCUAUAUUGCAAUACGUGUACGUAUACAGUGCAUUAUUGCGGUUCAACCAUUUCCCGCAUGUUACGCACGUAAUCUUAGGUCUUUUAUAAACGACGCUUUGUUCGCUUAUCUGCUUGCCGUCUAUUGGCGAAAGAUUGCAUCAAAGUUACGUCGUGCGGAAAGAUUUUGAUUUCCUGUUACAACCUAGCUCCGACACGAUGCACUCGAUACCGACGAUAAUAGAGUAUCGUUAACCGCGCGUAAACUUAAGAUGUAGACAUCUAAAGUCUAGGAAAAAUAGCACAGAGUAGAUCCAGAUUGUAUUGUAAUUUUUAAUGAAAUGCAGAUUUCUUUGUUAACACAUUAAGUAUCGCUCCAAUUUCAUGUAACUUUUCAUUCAGGCCGCUACAAUAUUUGUAUCACCACCAAGACACGACACAGAUUAUUUAGUUAAUGAUCUAAUUGUAAGUACAUCACAGUUGAUUCGAUAACAAUAUAAUCUUGCAAUAUUUCGAAAACGAGACAAAUUACUUUGGAAAUGGCGCGCGCUAAAAGUGUUAGUAGGCCGAGUAACAUGGGACUUUUGUUUUCACAUAUGAAUAAUUGUCGAACACAUCUGCGAACCAUGCAACCGUAUCGUACAUCCGUGCGAGUCUGAAACAACGCUAAUAAAUUAUCAUGUUCUUUUCGUGG